rnacentral:lncRNA from 1 species
AAAAAAGAAUUGUUAUAUAAUGCAGUAGAACAGUAAUAUUCGUAGUAUACAUGGACGGUAAUAGAACUUGCAUGCCAUAUCAAUAUAUUCCUAUCUUGAAGUCCUUCGGGAUAUGUACUGAUCCCACAUUUGUCGUGCUAUGUCAUCUCGCAUUUGAUUUCCUGCUUCCCUAGAGAAAUUAAAUGCAUUUAUAUCAUCCUGAUAGUUAUGGUCUCCAUCUGGCACAUCAAUAAUCUGCUCUUGAUCAAUAUCCAUGGUAGCAUUACUAGGCCAAGUCAUAUCUCCAUUGUAUAGGCGUAUAAAGUUAUGUAGAACAGCACAAGCCACAGAUAUGUCAACCUGUUUUUCUUUUGGAAAAUGUGAAGCCACUUUUAGUAUAGGAAAUCUCAUUUUGUAGAUGCCAAUAAUUCUCUCAACAUGAUUCCGAAGUUGAGCAUGUCGAAGAUUAAAU